rnacentral:rRNA from 1 species
ACGCCGGCGGCAGGCCUAACACAUGCAAGUCGAGCGGUAGAGAGAAGCUUGCUUCUCUUGAGAGCGGCGGACGGGUGAGUAAUGCCUAGGAAUCUGCCUGGUAGUGGGGGAUAACGUUCGGAAACGGACGCUAAUACCGCAUACGUCCUACGGGAGAAAGCAGGGGACCUUCGGGCCUUGCGCUAUCAGAUGAGCCUAGGUCGGAUUAGCUAGUUGGUGGGGUAAUGGCUCACCAAGGCGACGAUCCGUAACUGGUCUGAGAGGAUGAUCAGUCACACUGGAACUGAGACACGGUCCAGACUCCUACGGGAGGCAGCAGUGGGGAAUAUUGGACAAUGGGCGAAAGCCUGAUCCAGCCAUGCCGCGUGUGUGAAGAAGGUCUUCGGAUUGUAAAGCACUUUAAGUUGGGAGGAAGGGCAGUUGCCUAAUACGUAACUGUUUUGACGUUACCGACAGAAUAAGCACCGGCUAACUCUGUGCCAGCAGCCGCGGUAAUACAGAGGGUGCAAGCGUUAAUCGGAAUUACUGGGCGUAAAGCGCGCGUAGGUGGUUUGUUAAGUUGGAUGUGAAAUCCCCGGGCUCAACCUGGGAACUGCAUUCAAAACUGACUGACUAGAGUAUAGUAGAGGGUGGUGGAAUUUCCUGUGUAGCGGUGAAAUGCGUAGAUAUAGGAAGGAACACCAGUGGCGAAGGCGACCACCUGGACUGAUACUGACACUGAGGUGCGAAAGCGUGGGGAGCAAAC